rnacentral:rRNA from 1 species
GACGAACGCUGGCGGCGUGCCUAACACAUGCAAGUCGAACGGUCAAACGCGUUCCUUGUUGGUCGGUGGUGAUGGGUGGCCAACUGGUGAGCACCACGUUAGUCACCCUCUCCCACUUUCUUGAUAACCGCAUGCAAGAGUUGCUACUACGUGAUAUUUUGGGUCUGUCGCAUCAUUAGUCUGGGACAGAUUUUCUUUCAGUGGGGGAUGGGCUCGCGGCCUAUCAGCUUGUUGGUGGGGUGAUGGCCUACCAAGGCGGUGACGGGUAGCCGGCCUGAGAGGGUGGACGGUCACAGUGGGGCUGAGACGCGGCGCAGACUCCUACGGGAGGCAGCAGUGGGGAAUAUUGCACGAUGGGAGCAAGCCUGAUGCAGCGACGCCGCGUGAGGGAUGGAGGCCGUCGGGUUGUGAACCUCUUUCGCCAGUGAAGCAGGCCUGCCUCGUUUGUGGGUGGGUUGACGGUAGCUGGAUAAGAAGCGCCGGCUAACUACGUG